AGCAGCCGCGGUAAUUCCAGCUCCAAUAGCGUAUAUUAAAGUUGUUGCAGUUAAAAAGCUCGUAGUUGAAUUUCGGGGUUAGUAGGUUGGUCAUGCCUCUGGUAUGUACUGGUCUCACUGAUUCCUCCUUCCUUAUGAACCGUAAUGCCAUUAAUUUGGUGUUGCGAGGAAUUUGGACUGUUACUUUGAAAAAAUUAGAGUGUUUAAAGCAAGCUAACGCUUGAAUACAUUAGCAUGGAAUAAUGAAAUAGGACGUUCGAUCUUAUUUUGUUGGUUUCUAGGAUUGACGUAAUGAUUAAUAGGGAUAGUUGGGGGCAUUAGUAUUCAAUUGUCAGAGGUGAAAUUCUUGGAUUUAUUGAAGACUAACUACUGCGAAAGCAUUUGCCAAGGAUGUUUUCAUUAAUCAAGAACGAAAGUUAGGGAUCGAAGACGAUCAGAUACCGUCGUAGU
rnacentral:rRNA from 1 species